rnacentral:rRNA from 1 species
GACGAACGCUGGCGGCGUGCUUAACACAUGCAAGUCGAACGAAGCUUGAUUACGGAUUCUUCGGAUGAAGUAUGAUAUGACUGAGUGGCGGACGGGUGAGUAACGCGUGAGUAACCUGCCCUUCAGAGGGGGAUAGCGUUUGGAAACGAACGGUAAUACCGCAUAAUGUAUUUUGACCGCAUGAUCGAAAUACCAAAGAUUUAUCGCUGAAGGAUGGACUCGCGUCUGAUUAGGUAGUUGGUGGGGUAACGGCCUACCAAGCCGACGAUCAGUAGCCGGACUGAGAGGUUGAGCGGCCACAUUGGGACUGAGACACGGCCCAGACUCCUACGGGAGGCAGCAGUGGGGAAUAUUGCACAAUGGGCGCAAGCCUGAUGCAGCAACGCCGCGUGAAGGAAGACGGUUUUCGGAGUGUAAAAUUCUGUUCUUAGUGAAGAAUAAUGACGGUAGCUAAGGAGCAAGCCACGGCUAACUACGUG